rnacentral:rRNA from 1 species
CCGCGUGAGUGAAGAAAGGUUUUCGGGAUCGUAAAGCUCUGUUGUUGGUGAAGAAGGAUAGAGGUAGUAACUGGCCUUUAUUUGACGGUAAUCAACCAGAAAGUCACGGCUAACUACGUGCCAGCCGCCGCGGUAAU